AGGGCACCACCAGGAGUGGAGCCUGCGGCUUAAUUUGACUCAACACGGGAAAACUCACCCGGCCCGGACACCGUAAGGAUUGACAGAUUGAUAGCUUUUUCAUGAUUCGGUGGAUGGUGGUGCAUGGCCGUUCUUAGUUCGUGGAUCGAUUUGUCUGGUUUAUUCCGAUAACGAGCGAGACUCCAGCCUACUAACUAGUACGGGCAUUGCCUCUGUGCCCGGCACUUCUUAGAGGGAUUGGCUGCGUCUAGCGGCACGAAACGGAGCAAUAACAGGUCUGUGAUGCCCUUAGAUGUCCGGGGCUGCACGCGCGCUACACUGGCAAAGGCAGCGUGCUUGUCCUUCUCCGAAAGGAGCGGGUAAACCCUUGAAAAUUUGCCGUGAUUGGGAUCGGAAAUUGCAAUUAUUUUCCGUGAACGAGGAAUUCCUAGUAAGUGCGAGUCAUCAGCUCGCGUUGAUUACGUCCCUGCCCUUUGUACACACCGCCCGUCGCUGCCUAGAACUGAGCCAUUUCGAGAA
rnacentral:rRNA from 1 species